rnacentral:rRNA from 1 species
AGAGUGAACGCUGGCGGCAUGCCUAACACAUGCAAGUCGAACGGCAGCACAGCAGUAGCAAUACUGUGGGUGGCGAGUGGCGGACGGGUGAGGAACACAUCGGAAUUUGCCCAGUCGUGGGGGAUAACGUAGGGAAACUUACGCUAAUACCGCAUACGACCUAACGGUGAAAGCGGGGGAUCGCAAGACCUCGCGCGGAUGGAUAAGCCGAUGUCGGAUUAGCUAGUUGGCGGGGUAAAGGCCCACCAAGGCGACGAUCCGUAGCUGGUCUGAGAGGAUGAUCAGCCACACUGGGACUGAGACACGGCCCAGACUCCUACGGGAGGCAGCAGUGGGGAAUAUUGGACAAUGGGGGCAACCCUGAUCCAGCAAUGCCGCGUGUGUGAAGAAGGCCUUCGGGUUGUAAAGCACUUUUAUCGGGAACGAAACAUUGUCGGUGAAUAUCCGGCAAGACUGACGGUACCCGAGGAAUAAGCACCGGCUAACUUCGUG